rnacentral:rRNA from 1 species
UUAAAAUCUUACAUGAUCUGAGUUCAAACCGGCGUGAGCCAGGUUGGUUUCUAUCUAUAAUGGAGUUUUAUAUCUUAGUACGAGAGGACCAGGUAUUUGGAAUAAUUUUAUGUUUGUUGAAUUUUAUUAACU